UCUUAAGAUAAUAUAUUCCAGCUUAUGAGUUGUAAAACUCAAGGCAAAUAAAGCGAGCGAUUAUUUUAGAAAUCGUUGAUUUCAAUCGCCAUAUCCAAGGGGUCCAACCUAUACCGUAUGACACGUGCUUGAACUUCGUAUACCACUACCAAAAUGGCGGAUAAAGCUCGCUUUGACACACGACGAACAGUUUGUGAAGACUGCGACCAACUAUACUCUGGAAGGUCUGCCGUCAGCAGACGUGGUUGUUCAUCACGACAGACCAGGCGGGCACCAGUGCACUGACUGGACGAGUGUUUUGAACUCGAAGUCAUCUCCAAGUUUCCAGAUUCAUUGGGAUGAAUGAUCUAGUUUUUAUAUAUUGUUUAAUAAAUCAUAGCAUUAGUUUGUUAUUAGUCCCCCACUGGACAUCUAAAACACCAAUCCUAAUAUAUGGAUACAUGCCGUGUAUCUCGAAUAGGUCAAUGUGACCUUGACUCUUAUCCUUGACCUACAUCUGGGGGUUUCAGAUGUGUUUAGAUAAAAUUUAAUGACAAUGUGACGUACGUUGUAUUGUGUACAUAAAGGUUCCACAACGAAUGACGGUUGAUUAUUGUAUUUAUUUCACUCUCGUUAGUUAAGACAUUAGUUAUAUUUUUAUGUUACAUUUUGAAAAUGAACUAACGUGAGUGACAUAUGUAAGAUAGUCAAACUUCACGAAUUGUGAAACUUAUUUCAUAAAUGAGGGGAUUUAUAUUACAUUUCUGUUGCCAUUCUACUACAUUUUGUUUUUAAUUUCUCAAGCUGAUCAGAGAAAAAAUAGGAAUUACAAUUGUGACGUCACAUUAAAAAUAUUGCAUCACAAUGCGUUUUUAUCCAACCAAAGCCUCUGCUGCCAGUGGUAUCACAGUGUCAGUGAUGUAACACGAGCAGGUAUAGGAUAAAUAGACUAUGCAGGCUGCCUUUGAAUAUAAAUGUACAAGCAAUCAAAUCAUAAGCAAUUAUAUAUAAGCAUUUACAGGUCUCGAACAAUACAUGGGUUGGUUUUUAUUUAGAAAUAAGGACGCAUUUGAAUAGUUAAAACUUAGUUUAUGUGUACAAUUUAAUUGCAUGUAAUAUCUGAACACAUGAGCAUAUUGCCCUUGAUUCCAAGUCAUAAUGAAGGGAGUAUCUUCCCUUCAUCCACCUUGUAGUUGGCACGUGCAGGUUGAACUCCUUGAGGUGGUCCAGGAUAUAUACCGGUGAGAAAACUCUCUCAUGAAUUUGAUAAACUGACCUCCAAAAAAACCCAAAACCGUUCCUGUCCAACAUAAGUCCUUGUUGGCGUCAGAAACCUCAUGCAGACACCGUGGCAGUGCCGUUUUAGAGUAUUUUUAAAUAAUACAUAGAAAAUGUUUUUUGGGGUGGUUUUUUUGUUUUGGAGGGGGGGUGUGUGUGGAAAAAAACGCCAUUUUGGACACUGCUUCUGAAACGUGACAUUGUUUCUGUUAUAUCAUCAGUAUACAUGUCUGCGUCAAGGGACGGUUCAUCUAACACUUGAAAUGUAUGAUUAUCAUCACCGUCAUUUACACUCUGAGAUGCGAAUGACAACCUCUUCCUAAAUCGCUUUUCUCCUUUCUUUUGUGGUGAUAUCUGCUGUGGUGGUGUUGGAAAUUCCUUGUUGGAUGUAGGAUAUACAUCUAUAGGUGUUGAUAUGGAAGAUGUUCUCUUAAAUGGACUGACGAAUCACAAUUUGCAAAGUCUAAGGUACGACGAUUACACAGCCUUUUGCCAGAAUUGGAUCUCCUAGAUGUCAAGACGGGAAACAGCUCUCCUCUUUCGUGAUUAGUAAAUGCCUAACUUAAAUGGACUCUUUUUGUAUCUCCCCAUUACUGAAAGAAAAAAAACAAACACACACCUUAAGUUGAAAUAUAUAAUAUUUUAGGGGUACAAAUUAAAUAUAAUUUUUUGAAGUAAACGAAAUCUUGGCUUAAAUCCGGGGGAGCAGACGAAAAUGUGCCUGAACUAUAAGAAAUGUCUUGGAUGAACAAUUAUCCAAAACGUAUUUGCUUAAUUUAGCUCCCAGGGUGUAGAAGCUCUCACCAUGGCACUUUCUAAGUGUAUAAAUAUAACUUGGUUCGUUAAAAUAACACCAAACAUUUUGAUCAUGUUUGUUUUGACCGUCAAAACAACAAGGUUUUUCUUCAAUAGCUUUUUUUUCGGUUGUAAAUUACGUAAACAGAUGGAUAGAGUAUUCAUUCUAUAGCCGUAUCGCAAUAUUAUUUUAAUCAGAAAGGCAUUUAGCAUGCAGCUGUAAGACAAAAUGUACUCACCGUCGUGUGUCGAAGCGAGCUUUAUCCGCCAUUUUGUAGUGGUAUACGGAGUUCAAGCACGUGUCAUACGGUUUAGGUUGGAACCCUUGAUAUCCUAACAUCCUCGCAUCGCUCACGUCGCCCAGCGUCCGGUUAGGAUACAGCUUAAAGAACUUGAUUUACUGAGCCAGUGCGUCAUUGAAUAUAUGUAUGUUUCAGUCAAAACCCGACAUACAUACAAUAGAGAUAUUCCAAAUAUAAAAAUACAUAUAUAGCUAGUGCCAGGUCUGUCCACAUCUGCAUGUAAGUCAAACGUUGCCAAGCCAUGUGGCCUUAGAACCGCGUGGUUGUUGGACCGGUACGAAUAUGGUCGUCUAAGGAUCGUUCUAUUUUUGAGGAACGUCUGAUUGGUAGCGUUCCGGCCCAACAAUUGCGGGCGAUUGGGUGCCACAGGUUCGGGUCUCGGUAACGGCAUGAGGAAAUUUGUGAAGGCAAUAAAGGAUUUUAA
rnacentral:lncRNA from 1 species